rnacentral:rRNA from 1 species
CAAUAGCGUAUAUUUAAGUUGUUGCAGUUAAAAAGCUCGUAGUCGGAUUUUGGCUGAGAACGAUCGGUCCGCCGUUAGGUGUGCACUGAUUGGUCUCAGCUUCCUGGUGAGGAGGUGUGCUUCACGGCCACUUAGUCACCGUGGUUACUUUGAAAAAAUUAGAGUGUUCAAAGCGGGCUUACGCUUGAAUAUAUUAGCAUGGAAUAACACCAUAGGACUCCUGUCCUAUUUCGUUAGUCUCGGGACGGGAGUAAUGAUUAAGAGGAACAGUUGGGGGCAUUCGUAUUUCAUUGUCAGAGGUGAAAUUCUUGGAUUUAUGAAAGACGAACUUCUGCGAAAGCAUUUGCCAAGGAUGUUUUCAUUGA